UACGAAGGGGGCUAGCGUUGCUCGGAAUCACUGGGCGUAAAGGGUGCGUAGGCGGGUCUUUAAGUCAGGGGUGAAAUCCUGGAGCUCAACUCCGGAACUGCCUUUGAUACUGAAGAUCUUGAGUCCGGGAGAGGUGAGUGGAACUGCGAGUGUAGAGGUGAAAUUCGUAGAUAUUCGCAAGAACACCAGUGGCGAAGGCGGCUCACUGGCCCGGAACUGACGCUGAGACGCGAAAGCGUGGGGAGCAAACAGG
rnacentral:rRNA from 1 species